GUGCUCAUUUCGGCAGCACAUAUACUAAAUUUGGAAUGAUACAGAGAAGAUUAGCACGGCCCCUGCGCAAGGGUGACACACAAAUUCGUGAAGCUUCCAUAUUUUU
rnacentral:snRNA from 1 species